GGGAGGGGUUAACAUUUGUUUUGACAUAGAGAAGCCACAGCAGUUGACAGUGCUGGAGAGACUAAAAAACGGCUUUUUGCAUUUCAUCAGACAAUUUAGCUAACUACGUUGUGUAUCUGUGACAUCUCCGUGUGAAAUGGUGUGACUGAUCAUCAACUCCUGCAGUUACGUGUUGCGGCGCAUCCGGGCUGCAGUGAGAAGGGGAGAGCAGCCAGAGAAGCCCACCGCAGAAUGUAGCCAGGCCAAGGCGUGGAAGGAGGAGGGUAUGCAGAAGAAUGGACAGGUGGAGCCGGUGUUCAAACCCCUGGCAACGGAGCCGGAACCAGGCCUGAAGGUGGCAGAGUGUGCCUCUGGUGAAUGACGUUAGAAAGGGACAGAUAGAAAACAGGAGAGAGUGUGGAGGAAGGGAUGAGAGCAACAACUGUGUAAAAGAUGCACUGACUCAGUUGCAUUAUUAUCUGUUUUCUGUAAGACUAUAGCAGCAACCUCAUAUGUUGUCCUAUCACAUGCUAUGGAGAGACGGCCACUGCAUUAACUUAUGCUUGCUCAUGCCAGGUCAGUAUGAGGAAUUACAUGCAUGUACUGCAUGUUUUCUCUGGCUCAGUAUGAAAUUGUAUGACACUGACCUUGCACAUACAGAUGCAUUCACCUGCUAGUACAACAGAUCACAUUUACUGUGGAAAAAUUAUUCACACAUUAGGUGCACACACACACACACUCUUCCCCUCCCACUCCUCUCCUGUGGCCAGGUCUCUGUCCUCUAAGGUAGUUGAAGGUCAGAGUAAAAGAGUAACAAGCAGUAGCAGGCAACGAAGAGAAUGAUUGCCUGGACAUCAAUUCCCCACCAGAGGAAAUGCCCAGGCAGGAAAACAUAAACAAACCUUCUGCUGUUCAUAAAGAUACUGCCUCUAUUUUUCACUGUAUUCUGGGAGAUGUGCAUUUUCAAUAAACAAAGUACUCUUGCCUCCA